rnacentral:misc_RNA from 1 species
GGGGGCUCGGGUUAGGCUUGGGUACCGGUGUUGGUAUCGGUCUAGGAGGUGGUAGUGGUAGUGUCUCCGGUUCUGGCUCGGGCUCAGGCUCUGGUUCUGGUUCUGGGUCAGGAUCAGCAUCUGGUUCGGGUUCUGGCUCAGGAGCAGGCUCGUAUGCUGGUUCUGGUGCUGGAUCCUCUGCCGGGUCAGGAGCUGGCUCAGGUUCAGGAUCCGGUGCAGGCACGGGCUCAGGACAGGGGCAGGGCUCAGGUUCAGGA